rnacentral:misc_RNA from 1 species
CCAAUAGCGUAUAUUAAAGUUGUUGCAGUUAAAAAGCUCGUAGUUGAAUUUCGGGAUCGAAUUGUUGGUCGUGCUUCGGUACGCACUGGCAUUAUCGGUUUCUACCUUCUGAAGAACCGCGAUGUCAUUAAUUUGGUGUCGUGGGGAAUCAGGACUGUUACUUUGAAAAAAUUAGAGUGUUUAAAGCAGGCUUACGCUUGAAUACAUUAGCAUGGAAUAAUGAAAUAGGACGUUUGAUUCUAUUUUGUUGGUUUCUAGGAUCGACGUAAUGAUUAAUAGGGAUAGUUGGGGGCAUUAGUAUUCAAUUGUCAGAGGUGAAAUUCUUGGAUGUAUUGAAGACUAACUACUGCGAAAGCAUUUGCCAAGGAUGUUUUCAUUAAUCAAGAACGAAAGUUAGGGGAUCGAAGACGAUCAGAUACCGUCGUAGUCUUAACCAUAAACUAUGCCGACUAGGGAUCGGAUGAUGUUAAUUUUAUAAUGACUCAUUCGGCGCCUUACGGGAACCCAAACACUUUGGUUUC